AGUGAACGCUGGCGGUAGGCCUAACACAUGCAAGUCGAACGGCAGCACAGUAAGAGCUUGCUCUUACGGGUGGCGAGUGGCGGACGGGUGAGGAAUACAUCGGAAUCUACUUUUUCGUGGGGGAUAACGUAGGGAAACUUACGCUAAUACCGCAUACGACCUACGGGUGAAAGCAGGGGAUCUUCGGACCUUGCGCGAUUGAAUGAGCCGAUGUCGGAUUAGCUAGUUGGCGGGGUAAAGGCCCACCAAGGCGACGAUCCGUAGCUGGUCUGAGAGGAUGAUCAGCCACACUGGAGCUGAGACACGGUCCAGACUCCUACGGGAGGCAGCAGUGGGGAAUAUUGGACAAUGGGCGCAAGCCUGCUCCAGCCAUACCGCGUGGGUGAAGAAGGCCUUCGGGUUGUAAAGCCCUUUUGUUGGGAAAGAAAAGCAGCAGGUUAAUACCCCGCUGUUCUGACGGUACCCAAAGAAUAAGCACCGGCUAAUUUCGU
rnacentral:rRNA from 1 species